rnacentral:rRNA from 1 species
UACGGAGGGAGCUAGCGUUGUUCGGAAUUACUGGGCGUAAAGCGCACGUAGGCGGAUUUGUAAGUCAGGGGUGAAAUCCCGGGGCUCAACCUCGGAACUGCCUUUGAUACUGCAAGUCUCGAGUCCGAUAGAGGUGAGUGGAAUUCCUAGUGUAGAGGUGAAAUUCGUAGAUAUUAGGAAGAACACCAGUGGCGAAGGCGGCUCACUGGAUCGGUACUGACGCUGAGGUGCGAAAGCGUGGGGAGCAAACAGG